rnacentral:rRNA from 1 species
CUUCUCCUACGGGAGGCAGCAGUAGGGAAUCUUCCACAAUGGACAAAAGUCUGAUGGAGCAACGCCGGGUGAGUGAAGAAGGGUUUCGGCUCGUAAAGCUCUGUUGGUAGUGAAGAAAGAUAGAGGUAGUAACUGGCCUUUAUUUGACGGUAAUUACUUAGAAAGUCACGGCUAACUACGUGCCAGCAGCCGCGGUAAUACGUAGGUGGCAAGCGUUGUCCGGAUUUAUUGGGCGUAAAGCGAGUGCAGGCGGGUCAAUAAGGC